UAUCCGAUCCUAUCCCUGUACGAGGUACGCGCAAUGCAACGGGGUGGUGACGGCGGGGGCAAGUGCAAUCUACUUCCCUUGGCGAGGACACACUGGUGCGAAGCAAGACAAGGCCUGGCAGAGCAAGAGAAAAAACAAUGAGACACAUGACACAGGAAAUUACAUCCUCAAGCCAUUUGCUAACACCAUGGGUAGACCAAAGAGGACCUGAGCCCUAGGACCAUGCCUCAGGACUACCUGGCAUGAU